UACGUAGGGGGCAAGCGUUGUCCGGAAUCAUUGGGCGUAAAGCGCGUGUAGGCGGCCCGGUAAGUCCGCUGUGAAAGUCCAGGGCUCAACCCUGGGAUGCCGGUGGAUACUGUCGGGCUCGAGUCCGGAAGAGGCGAGUGGAAUUCCUGGUGUAGCGGUGAAAUGCGCAGAUAUCAGGAGGAACACCGAUGGCGAAGGCGGCGACCUGGACCUGUGCUGACGCUGAGGCGCGAAAGCGUGGGGAGCGAUCCGG
rnacentral:rRNA from 1 species